AUUGAACGCUGGCGGCAUGCUUUACACAUGCCAGUCGAACGGUAACAGGCCGCAAGGUGCUGACGAGUGGCGAACGGGUGAGUAAUGCAUCGGAACGUGCCCAGUCGUGGGGGAUAACUACUCGAAAGAGUAGCUAAUACCGCAUACGAUCUAUGGAUGAAAGCGGGGGACCGUAAGGCCUCGCGCGAUUGGAGCGGCCGAUGUCAGAUUAGGUAGUUGGUGGGGUAAAGGCUCACCAAGCCAACGAUCUGUAGCUGGUCUGAGAGGACGACCAGCCACACUGGGACUGAGACACGGCUCAGACUCCUACGGGAGGCAGCAGUGGGGAAUUUUGGACAAUGGGCGCAAGCCUGAUCCAGCAAUGCCGCGUGCAGGAAGAAGGCCUUCGGGUUGUAAACUGCUUUUGUACGGAACGAAACGGCUCUGGUUAAUACCCGGGGCUAAUGACGGUACCGUAAGAAUAAGCACCGGCUAACUACGUG
rnacentral:rRNA from 1 species